rnacentral:rRNA from 1 species
GACGAACGCUGGCGGCGUGCCUAAUACGUGCAAGUAGAACGCUGAAGGAGGAGCUUGCUCUUCUGGAUGAGUUGCGAACGGGUGAGUAACGCGUAGGUAACCUGCCUGGUAGCGGGGGAUAACUAUUGGAAACGAUAGCUAAUACCGCAUAACAGUAGAUGUUGCAUGACAUUUACUUAAAAGGUGCAAUUGCAUCACUACCAGAUGGACCUGCGUUGUAUUAGCUAGUUGGUGGGGUAACGGCUGACCAAGGCGACGAUACAUAGCCGACCUGAGAGGGUGAUCGGCCACACUGGGACUGAGACACGGCCCAGACUCCUACGGGAGGCAGCAGUAGGGAAUCUUCGGCAAUGGACGGAAGUCUGACCGAGCAACGCCGCGUGAGUGAAGAAGGUUUUCGGAUCGUAAAGCUCUGUUGUAAGAGAAGAACGAGUGUGAGAGUGGAAAGUUCACACUGUGACGGUAUCUUACCAGAAAGGGACGGCUAACUACGUG